GUGAUUGUAGCUCAGUUGGUUAGAGCGCCGGAUUGUGGUUCCGGAGGUCGUGGGUUCGAGACCCNNNAAAGAAA
rnacentral:tRNA from 1 species